UCUUGGUCAUUUAGAGGAAGUAAAAGUCGUAACAAGGUUUCCGUAGGUGAACCUGCGGAAGGAUCAUUAGCGAAUUGUAAUGGGGGUUUGAUGCUGGCUGUCAUCCUUUUGGCUGCAUGUUGCUCGCCCUCAGCAAUCCUUUUCCAAACACCUGUGCAUCUUGUGAGUUCGAGAAAGGGGGAACUCUUUCUUGUCUCAUGAUUCAUAAACGCUGCCUGUAAAUAUUGAAUGCUGUUCGUGCCGUUAAGGCCUUAACCAUAAUACAACUUUUGACAACGGAUCUCUUGGCUCUCGCAUCGAUGAAGAACGCAGCGAAAUGCGAUAAGUAAUGUGAAUUGCAGAAUUCAGUGAAUCAUCGAAUCUUUGAACGCACCUUGCGCUCCCUGGUAUUCCGGAGAGUACGCCUGUUCGAGUGUCGUGAAACUGUCAAGCUAGGAUGCGCUUUUCCUGGCUUGGUUUGUUGGGCUUUGCCAGUGUCCUUUCACUAGGAAACGGGCUGGCCUUAAAAGUAUUAGCUGACUCCAUGUGGUUAUUGGUUUUCUACUCGGCGUGAUAAUUAGAUGACCGCCGGGAAAGUGUCCCUCUGGGGAUCGCCAAUUUUCAUCUGGGUUGCUUCUAAUCUUGGAGCUUCGGUUCCAUUUGUUCAACUUUGACCUCGAAUCAGGUGGGACCACCCGCUGAACUUAAGCAUAUCAAUAA
rnacentral:rRNA from 1 species